AUUGAACGCUGGCGGCAUGCCUUACACAUGCAAGUCGAACGGUAGCGGGCCUUCGGGUGCCGACGAGUGGCGAACGGGUGAGUAAUGCAUCGGAACGUGCCAUUGAGUGGGGGGAUAACGUAGCGAAAGUUACGCUAAUACCGCAUAUUCUGUGAGCAGGAAAGCAGGGGGACCGCAAGGCCUUGCGCUCUUUGAGCGGCCGAUGUCAGAUUAGCUAGUUGGUGAGGUAAAGGCUUACCAAGGCGACGAUCUGUAGCGGGUCUGAGAGGAUGAUCCGCCACACUGGAACUGAGACACGGUCCAGACUCCUACGGGAGGCAGCAGUGGGGAAUUUUGGACAAUGGGGGCAACCCUGAUCCAGCCAUGCCGCGUGAGUGAAGAAGGCCU
rnacentral:rRNA from 1 species